rnacentral:rRNA from 1 species
CCGGACCGGCGCACGGGUGAGUAACGCGUAUGCAACUUACCUAUCAGAGGGGGAUAACCCGGCGAAGUCGGACUAAUACCGCAUGAAGCAGGGGCCCCGCAUGGGGAUAUUUGCUAAAGAUUCAUCGCUGAUAGAUAGGCAUGCGUUCCAUUAGGCAGUUGGCGGGGUAACGGCCCACCAAACCGACGAUGGAUAGGGGUUCUGAGAGGAAGGUCCCCCACAUUGGAACUGAGACACGGUCCAA